rnacentral:tRNA from 1 species
GCUUCCGGUUCAGUGGUAGAAUGCUCGCCUGCCACGCGGGCUACCCGGGUUCGAUUCCCGGCCGAUGCA